CUUUAUAUUUGAUUUAACUCAAGACACUGUCUUGAAACCAUAUUUUCACAGUCACAAUUUAAGGCAACCACUCUUUUAACUGUAACACCUUUCAACAUCCAGUGAUAGGCAAGGUGGGAAUCUGUUUUGAUUAACAGUGCUUCGUUGUUAAGGAGCCAUUGUGGGAUCACAAAUUUAGGGCUAGAAGGGAGGGACCUUCUUUGGUCCAGUGUCCUCAUUUGACAAAGGGCACUGGACCCCAGAGAAGAAUGAUCUCUGCAGGCUCCCAAAGGCAGGUAUAGGUGGCAUAGCAAGGAUUCGAAUAUGACUCCAAUCCUAGGACUCUCUCCUGCAAGAGCCAGAGCAACACUGGAGGUGGGGAAGAAGAAACACCAGGAAGUGAAGGGACACUUUUAAAAACCCUUUUAAGAAUCCAGUGGCAUUUAAGCAACAAGGACUGCAAAGGAAAGAGAUGAUUUUCCCUACCGGGAAUGAUUCUAAAGAUUAAACCUGGAAGGUGGAAACCACUUCCUCCUGCUGGUUCCAAGGUGACAUGGUACCGAGUGCUGUGCUCUUCAAGGAUCUCAGGAGCAGUUGGAGGCAGAGAUAUACAGGCAUUCAAUGUUCUCUCCUAUGCCUAGUAGAAAGCAAGCUUCUCAAGGACGUCCCCUUCUGGUUUUUAUCUUUGUAUCUCCAGUGCCAAAAGCAGGAGCAUGACAAAUGUAUGCUGAAUUAAAUUGCUGA